rnacentral:tRNA from 1 species
UCUGGCUUGGCCAAGCGGUAAGGCAUCGGAAUUUGGAUCCGAGACCCCUGGUUCGAAUCCAGGAGCCAGAACCA